rnacentral:lncRNA from 1 species
AGAAUUCUGGUGAAAAGGUUCAAUCUGUACUGCCGUAUCACCAACAUCUGUCUUGAGGUGGUGAGCCAACAUGAUAAAAUGAGAAGCAUUACUUUCAGAGCAGCUUUCUUAGUAUCUCCAAUACUGUGUUAAAUGCAAGUUUAAACUUGCAGUACACUUACAGCAGGCUAGUUGGCAUGGGAGAAAGAAGACAGGAGCUCCUGAAAUUGCUGCGGAGACCGGCUUCAGAGCAGGUUACAUCAUCCCAAAUAACUGAAAGCACUGUAGUAAGCAUAGAGCCCUGGACAGAACUUGUGACCUUCUUUCAUGAAUCUGGAAAACAAGCGGAUGCUAUUGCUGCUUUAUUUGUUGGUUUAUGA